rnacentral:rRNA from 1 species
UACGGAGGGUGCGAGCGUUGUCCGGAAUCACUGGGCGUAAAGGGCGCGUAGGCGGCGCGGGGAGUCAACGGUGAAAGCUCGGCGCUCAACGCCGAGUCGGCCGUCGAUACUCCCGUGCUCGAGCACUGUAGAGGCAGGUGGAAUUCCGGGUGUAGCGGUGGAAUGCGUAGAGAUCCGGAAGAACACCGGUGGCGAAGGCGGUCU